UACGUAGGGUGCAAGCGUUGUCCGGAAUUAUUGGGCGUAAAGAGCUCGUAGGCGGUUUGUCGCGUCUGCCGUGAAAGUCCGGGGCUCAACUCCGGAUCUGCGGUGGGUACGGGCAGACUAGAGUGCAGUAGGGGAGACUGGAAUUCCUGGUGUAGCGGUGAAAUGCGCAGAUAUCAGGAGGAACACCGAUGGCGAAGGCAGGUCUCUGGGCAGUAACUGACGCUGAGGAGCGAAAGCGUGGGGAGCGAACAGG
rnacentral:rRNA from 1 species